rnacentral:lncRNA from 1 species
UCUGAGGACUCCUAGACAGCCAGAGUCCCGAGGACUCCCAGACCGCCAGCGCCCCAGCCGGCUAUCUUUGCAAAGGCUUUAUCCUCAGUGAUAUAGUAAGUCUUCUGAUGUGAAAUAACUACACACAUAAAAACACAGAACUCUGCAACUUAUACCAAGCCAUCUGUGUGACCCCUAGAUUUAUGCUGGCACCCCCAAGAUCAUCUUAUGCCUGUUGUGGUCACUGCCAUACACACCCCCAGAUGGCCACUUUCGUGCAAGUGUCCAGUCCUAAGCAUCAUGAUUGCUUUAGAUCCAUUCUCAUUCAUGUGUGUGUGUGUGUGUGUGUGUGUGAGUGUGCAACCUCCCUGUCAGUCAUGUUGGUGGGGGAUAUCCACUGUGUUGCACAAAGCGAUCACUUGCUAUUCAUUUAUUGCCUCAGUCAUCUGUAUAGAUACCAAAUGUAAUUUUAUCUUCCCUCCGCUGUAGGACUGAGUUGAUCUCAACCUGAGGGAACAUCAAGCAUCCUCAGUUAUGUCUUUGACAAGUGCAUCGUGGGCGUGGCAGUCAUAUUCUCCUGUGAGGAUACUUAGCUUCAGCAGGUUCUACCAAGGUGCUGUCAGAAAUGCUUAGUUUUUCCUGUUCUUCCACAUCGUAUAUCAAAUUUCCUCAGCACAUACUACUUUGCAUCAGGCUCUGUCUGGACACGGGAAUUCCCUCACAAUAUAUCCAAGCUGUUUUGUAUAGCAGAGCUUUGCCUUUUUUCUAAGACAACCCUUAGUAUGAUCACACAGUAUGUAAACAUUACUAUCAAUUUCCUGAGCCAUUCUCCUGCUGGCGAGCACUUGGGUUUCCAGACUCGACACGCUGUCAGUCCAGUAACAUGGCAUGAAGAAAGAAGCAGCAGCAGCGUGUCGACUCUGCUCUCCUCAGGGAUUCCUACAAAGAAACGGACAGUCUCAAAAGCCCCAAAACCAGCAAAUUAUUUAGGUAUAUUUAGUUAAAUGUAUUUUAAAUACAUAUAAUCUAUGCCUUAUUUUAUUAAAAUCAGAACAAAAUCAGGAAUCAGAUCAACAAUUCUUCACAUUUUUGUGGCUGAACUGUCUUAAACACAACAUGAAUAAAUUUAAUUUUUUCUCAUCUUCCCAGAAAGCUUUCCUUCAGUGAACACCAACAGAUCUGCACUUUCUGAUAGAAAUGCAAUGCCCCAAAUCCUGGGAGCUCUCUUCAUUCGUAGAGGUGUCGAGUUCCUUCUGAUCAAAGCCCCAUUAGGACUCUGAUGAAAAGACCUCUUCCCGUCCAAAGGCAGGCACAUCCUCACAUACCAACAGCACAUCUCAAGUCCCCAAGGCCCAGCCGGCCUGGGGCUCUCUCUGUCCCUGUGGCUGCCUAGCAGUAGGGUUGUGGAGAGCAGUGGUGCUGAUGCUUUGAGUUAAUGCAGAGUCUGUGUGGACUGACGCUGAAGGGCCUUGAAUUGGCUUUUGAUCUAUCAAUAAAGAGGCCAGAGGCCAAUGGCUGAGCACAGAGCAAGACACUUAGAGUUUUGAGGGUAAGCUUUUCAGAUAAGUGGCCACUGGCCACUUCCCUGACUGAGCCUGGGAUAGCAUGGGAAGGUUUAGGAGUACCCAGCUUAUGAGGUAGCCAAGGCAUUUUAAAAUUAACUCUGUGUGUGUGUGUGUGUGUGUGUGUGUGUGUGUGUGUGUGUGUGUGUGUUCUCCAUUCACGGAUCCGAGAUAGCUCCUGGGCGGGUGUGUAAGUGGUGCAGCCAAAAAUCUAACCACAACAGGAUUCUCUCCUCACAGACAGAGACUCCACUGCUAGACAAGACGCACAGUCAGUCAAGCCAAGCUGUCUCCCCUCAUCUCCAAGCAGCAGAGCCAGGCCAGGCACAUGCCAGGCUUAGUGCUCUGGUGCUCCCUCCCUAAGUACUCUCUGCCCAGUACCCUCGCUACUCCUUAGUAACGAAUCUUAGCAAUGAUCUCGCUUGUAUCAGCUGCAAAGCUUCUUGUUACUAUCUUUAAACACAGAGACCCACUUGUAAGGGGGACACUGCGGCAGAAAUUGGUAUUUUUCCACAAAUUCUGUCCCUGAGUUUAAAGGUCCAGAGAGUUUGCAAUCGAGAAUCCUGAGCCAGAAACUGAAGAGACGGCUCAGUAGGGAAGCGUACUGGUUAAGAAACUGAAGAGCCAGCUCGGCUCAGCUUGGUAGGGAAGCGCACUGGUUAAGAAUAGUGGCUACUCUUCCAGAUGACUGGGUUAGAUUCCCAGCACCCACAUGGCACCUCACAACCAUCUCUAUCUGACUCCAAGCCUAGGGGAGCUGUAAAAGCAUGCACCAGGAACACACAGACACAUGUGCACACAAGACACCUAUACACAUAAAAAUAAAUGUAGUAAAUAAAUAAGCAAGAGCCCCAACUCAUCCGGCUUCAUUAGUGUAAAUCUGUGCCAGCGCCACCCUGUCCAGCCCUCCCUGUCCAGCCCUCCCUGUCAUCCAGCCAAGCUGGCCUGAGGAUUAAGAUGGGACAGAACAUUUAGAAUACCAGAGGAGAAUGACUGGCAAAAGAAAAGAAUGUCACUUUUAUUGAAAAAAAAAAAAAAAAAAAAAAACCUGUAGGAGCUAUGGAUCCUGUAGGAGCAGGACUCCCACCACCUAACCCCAAAGCAGAGUUACUUGCAAAGCCAGUUUCCCCACGGCUCUGGUGGGAAUUCAAGACAAUAAGAUAAAUUGGUUUUUUUCACUUUAGGUCAUGACCUUUGGUUUAUAAAAGGCAAAAUUUCUACCAAAGGUGACUAGCAAAUAUUUAAUGAGAAAACUGGUAAAGGAAAAACAGGUGGUCCAGAACAAAAAGGCAAUGCCAGUUAGACUGGCACUGAGUUAGGGAUGUACAACUAGCUGGUCACAUAUUCCACAGUGCAGGGAAAUCAGAGACGGGAAACACUGCUAGUCCCAAGCAUUUUGGAUGAGGGCUACUCCCCUGCGCACACGUCUUUACCAAAUGAGCGUCUGUGCCUCCUACCACCUUAGGGGUGCUAGAAGAGGACACACAAAAGCCCCCCUCCUUCCUGCAGCCUAGCCUAGCAAGCCUUCCAGCUACAGAGGUGCAGUCCUAUAUUCUGAGAAUUUUGAAAUUAUAGCUGAUUUCAUUUUUAGCUGAAAUCAGAAGAGACAAAUAGCAAUGGAGGAAUGCAUGAGAAACAGCAAGUCUCCCACAGUUAAAGCCAGCUUCGGAUGGACAUUAGGACGAAGGGGCACAGUCAGGUGAGCUCGCUCCUGACAGAGGCCUGCUGGGGACUUCACAGCUCAGUCUUCACCAUGGCUCUGAGGCAUAUGCAUCAACAACUAUUUGAAAAUAUCAACAAUGAUACUCAGAGCAGAAAUGUCACCUCCACAGAAUCCAACAGAGGCAAAGGGGGAGAGGCAAGCUACUUGCCAGUGCCCACAGUUCAUCUUUGUCCUUGCUGGCACUGGGAACCAUGAGGGGAAGCUUCACUGGUUUUGCUUGUUGUAAAAUCCAUGGCCCUUUCCAGACUGUCUGUAAAUGCAUAAACACACAGGAUAAAAAAGGAGAGCAACUGUGCCAAAAUAUAGUUCUCAGAUAUUAAAAUGUGCAUGUGAGAAAUGGUCCUACAUGCUGUUUCCUUAUGAAGCUGAACAGCCAGUAGCUUCUGCCUUCACAAGGGAGCUAUCACAGACCAGCACGUUACAGACACUGAGUCUUCAGGUAGGAAUUAUCUGCCCCACACUGCCAUGUUCCAUAGCCUCUUACCCAGGAUGCUUUUCAGGAGAAACGUAAUAAGCAGAAUUUAUCAUGCAGAUUUCAUUCCUGGCAUCAAGAGUACUUAAUAACAAAAGAGUAAAGCACUUCCUGCAGUUAGUUCAGACUGCAAAGUCUCCAACAGUCAAACUUGCUCACCAACCAUAUGACUGUGUUUUGUUCAAGUGGGUUUAUAAGGAGCAUAACCUUCCACAGCAAUAAAUUAUACAAAGGAGCAUGGGUCCAUGGACCAAGAGUUAGGGAAUUUUAAUUUUUGACAUUAAUUCACUGUACAGACAAAAACAGUAUUGAUCAAUAGGGGUGACCACAACAGUGAGAGCAGGAAGAAGUGGAUACAAACAGAUACUGUAUCUCUUACUUGGUUGUUAACUAGCAGACAACAGGAGAUGCCCAGCAACCAGGAAAAUAGGGCAUUUCUGAGGAGAUAAACGAUGCAGGUAACACCCUAAAAGAUGAAAGAGCUUCCUGUGAAAGAGGCUCUUCCUUUUAUCCACUGCAUAACCCACUCACCCAUUGUGUGUCUGCCACUGCUCUUGCACUAGUUGCACCCCAAGUCUCUGAAACUCCCAUCCCCACGAUAUGUACCUCAGCAGCCCUGUGGCCCCUGUCCCAUGACUCACACACUGCCAUCUGUCUGCACUGUUCCAUCUACAGAUGCUCAGAGUCGCUCUUCAAGUCCCAGGUCCCAGGCAGUCUGCUGGAGAAACAUGUUCCAUC